rnacentral:rRNA from 1 species
UACGUAGGGUGCGAGCGUUAAUCGGAAUUACUGGGCGUAAAGCGUGCGUAGGCGGUUCCUCAAGUCCGUUGUGAAAGCCCCGGGCUCAACCUGGGAAUGGCAGUGGAAACUAGGGGACUGGAAUCUGGCAGAGGGGGGGGUGGAAUGCCGCGUGUAGCAGUGAAAUGCGUAGAGAUGCGGCGGAACACCGAUGGCGAAGGCAGCCCCCUGGGCUGAGAUUGACGCUCAGGCACGAAAGCGUGGGAGCAAACAGG